rnacentral:ncRNA from 1 species
UUUGGGGGAACUACGACCGCAAGGCUGAAACUUGAAGGAAUUGACGGAAGGGCACACCAGGGGUGGAGCCUGUGGCUUAAUUUGAAUCAACACGGGGAAACUUACCAGGACCAGAUGUUUUUAUGACUGACAGGCUUCGGGUCUUUCAGGAUAUUGUUUUUGGUGGUGCAUGGCCGUUGGUGGUGCGUGGGUUGACCUGUCUAGCGUUGAUUCAGCUAACGAGCGAGAUUAUCGCCAAUUAUUUACUUUGCCGAAGUCCUUCGGUUAAAGUUCUAAUUGGGACUCCCUGCGAUUUUAGCAGGUGGAAGAGGGUAGCAAUAACAGGUCCGUGAUGCCCUUUAGAUGCUCUGGGCUGCACGCGUGCUACAAUGUUAGGAUCAAUAGGACUGCGAGCCUGAGAGGGUGCGCUACUCUUAUAAUCCCUAACGUAGUUGGGAUUGACGUUUGUAAUCAGCGUCAUGAACCAGGAAUCCCUUGUAAAUGUGUGUCAACAACGCACGUUGAAUACGUCCCUGCCCUUUGUACACACCGCCCGUCGCUCCUACCGAUUGGAUGACUCGGUGAAAUCACCGGAUGCUUACGAGCAGAAAGUGAUUAAAUCACGUUAUCUAGAGGAAGGAGAAGUCGUAACAAGGUAACGGUAGGUGAACCUGCCGUUGGAUCAGUU